rnacentral:rRNA from 1 species
GACGAACGCUGGCGGCGUGCUUAACACAUGCAAGUCGAACGGAAAGGCCCUGCUUUUGUUGGGUGCUCGAGUGGCGAACGGGUGAGUAACACGUGUGUAACCUGCCCUUGACUUUGGGAUAACUUCAUGAAACUCGGGCUAAUACCGGAUAUGCGCCCCUGCUGCAUGGUGUGGGUGGGAGAAUUUCGGCUGGUGGGGAUGGACUCGCGGCUUAUCAGCUUGUUGGUGGGGUAGCGGCUUACCAAGGCUUGGACGGGUAGCCGGCCUGAGAGGGUGACCGGCCACAUUGGGACUGAGAUACGGCCCAGACUCCUACGGGAGGCAGCAGUGGGGAAUAUUGCACAAUGGGCGGAAGCCUGAUGCAGCAACGCCGCGUGCGGGAUGACGGCCUUCGGGUUGUAAACCGCUUUUGGCUGUGAAGAAGCGAGAGUGACGGUAACGGGUAAAGAAGCACCGGCUAACUACGUG